rnacentral:rRNA from 1 species
AGUUUGAUCCUGGCUCAGGAUGAACGCUGGCGGCGUGCUUAACACAUGCAAGUCGAACGGUCGCAAGACAGUGGCGCACGGGUGAGUAACACGUAGCUCAUUUGCCUUCGGGUCUGGAAUAACGUUCCGAAAGGAAUGCUAAUACCGGAUAAGCUCACGAGCUGUAGAUGCUUGUGAGAAAGGAUUUAUCGCCUGAAGAGAAGGCUGCGGCCCAUCAGGUAGUUGGUGUGGUAACGGCACACCAAGCCAACGACGGGUAGGGGACCUGAGAGGGUGAUCCCCCACACUGGGACUGAGACACGGCCCAGACUCCUACGGGAGGCAGCAGUGAGGAAUAUUGCGCAAUGGGCGAAAGCCUGACGCAGCGACGCCGCGUGGGUGAUGAAGGUCUUCGGAUCGUAAAGCCCUUUUCUGCGUGACGAGACAAGGACGGUAGCGCAGGAAUAAGUCUCGGCUAACUACGUGCCAGCAGCCGCGGUAAGACGUAGGAGGCAAGCGUUAUCCGGAGUUACUGGGCGUAAAGAGUGCGUAGGCGGACUGGUAAGUAGUUCGUGAA